AGAAUCAUUCAUGUGAUUUGGUUUCUUGAAUUCCUAGGCAAACACAAUGCUAGAUCCUUGGAAAGUGCUUGUAACACUGAAACUCUAUUAGAUCCUUGGAAUCUCAAAGAACUUGUAACACUGAAACUCUAUUAGAUCCUUGGAAUCCCAAAGAAACUCUAUUAGAUCCUUGGAAUUCCAAAGAAACUUUAUUAGAUCCUUGGGAUUUUAAGAUUUAUCCCAUACAAUCAUUUCAGGAUAACGAUAGGUGAAGGCUUUUGU
rnacentral:lncRNA from 1 species